rnacentral:lncRNA from 1 species
UCGGGGACAGGUACCAUCAACAAAACCAAUUUUAUUCUUAGAAGACAAGGCCACUAUCAUUUUCCUCUUCCAACCCCCAUAACCACUACCCGAAAAAGGAGCAGGAACAAGAGAAACACCAGGAACAUUGGAAGAGUAGACAAAGAGAGGGCUCGUCGGAUCAAUAGAUGAAGCACUAUUAUGAUUCAUAUUUGACAUCAUGAACAACAGUGAAGUAGAUAUCGAUUAAAUUUCUGCGAACAAUUUGACACACCAGAUUUUCACCAAAAACACAUGCGAACUUCCUAACUAAAGGUGAGAAUAGGAUUACCCGACUUCUUCG